rnacentral:rRNA from 1 species
UACGUAGGGUGCGAGCGUUAAUCGGAAUUACUGGGCGUAAAGCGCACGUAGGCGGCUUUGUAAGUCAGAGGUGAAAGCCCGGGGCUCAACUCCGGAACUGCCUUUAAGACUGCAUCGCUUGAAUCCAGGAGAGGUGAGUGGAAUUCCGAGUGUAGAGGUGAAAUUCGUAGAUAUUCGGAAGAACACCAGUGGCGAAGGCGGCUCACUGGACUGGUAUUGACGCUGAGGUGCGAAAGCGUGGGGAGCAAACAGG